AAUCAGAUCAUUAAUGUUAUUCGGUGGUUUUAAUGUUAUGGCUGAUUGGCACACAGCUAUCUGUAGUACUCUGCUGCCCUCUAGUGGAAACUCCUGACCUACACACACACACACACACACACACACUUUCAUUUACCAGUAAGUGAAACUAACUCGUAACUCCUCAGUCCUGCAGGAUCUGCUCUCCUGUCCAAGCCUGUCUCACUAUGGAGGAACUUCCUGCGCAAGUACUGAGAUCAUCCAUCGCUUUCCUUGCUGGGUCUGUCUCUGGACUCACCCUGGCUCUGGUUCUGAUCGGAUCAGUAGACGAUGCAUCAGAGUAUCCAGGAGCUGCAAUGCUCACGUACGCUGUUCUAGCUGCAGCGACGGUUGCGUCGAUGUGUGGAUUCAUGAUUCCUAUGGAUUUAGUUGCUGAGAAAUGGAGGGACUUUUUAAAUAGUCAUGUGACUCAGAGGUCGAUUAGGUUUAUUUGUAGAGUUCUGAGAGAAGCGAAGGCCAUGACGGUGCUGGGGGUUGUGUUAACGUUAGGGAACAUGUUUUUGGGGGUGUUUGAGCUCUCUAGGGAUCUGAUCACUGAACUGGGAGUUCUUAUUGCUUUUUUGUCAGAGAUUUCGACGUUUUCCACAGCGAUCUCAGCGAUUGUGGUGGUUUUUCUGCAGGUUCAGGCUUUAGAGCACUGGGAUGGAAGUAUGAGGCUUGUUUGGUUGGCGAUGUUGGUUUUGAUGGUCUUUGCUUUGUGGAACAUUUUGAGUAGGGUAGGUAAAGUUGCGAAUGCUUUUAUAGCGGCGUGUCUAGCCUGUUUUUACGCGUCACUGCUUGCACUGAUGAUCAUUUUGACGCCUGUAUUAAUUUCUAUGCACUGUUUGAGCGGUUGGCUUGUAAUGGCUGUAGGUUCUGCAACUGUUGUUACUCUACAAGGUGGAGUAGGACCAGCUGCUGUUACCAUACCUUACAUUUUACUGCGUCUAAGCCAAGCAGACACAAAGUUAAGCCAUGGCUUUUGGUUCUUGGCGUUUCUCUUUGCGGCAAACUCCAAUGUAUACUCAAUGGAUUUAAACCCAAAGAGUGUUGAAUCUUUGCUCUAUAUUCGUAAAUUAGCUUUGUUAUUUGGAGUACCAGUAAUAAUUGCUAUAUCUUCUGUAGUUGCCGUGCAGAUUCUCAUAAGUAGAGUACCUAAUAAUGGAGGUAGACUCCUGGCAUGGGCAGGUAAAGGUGCAGCACUGGGAUCAGCAAUAGCUUUACGAAUGUUUGGAGAAACCUUGAUAUCCUACGGUUUGGUAAGCUUCAUGUUCGUAUGGAUAACUUGCCUUUGUUUUCUCCACAACGCCCAAAAUCUUCACGUAUCUCAACUCAAAGGCAUGCACAUCGCUACCUUCGUCAUUGGGUGUGGCGUUGCUCUGUUCCCGAACCACUGGGGCUUGGUAAUGACUGGUCUCGUGCUCUAUACAGCAAUUAAGACUCUAAAACUACUGCUGGAACUGGAGGAGGAGGACGAGGACAUCACGACGCUUCCAGGAAGAGAUAACAUAAUAAACCAAGAGGAAUACGGCUUUGAGUAGAAGAACAUGAGUACAAUAUAUAAAAGCUGGAAACACAGAAGCUCCUUCAGUGACUGGUUAGUGUAUAUCCUCUUAUUUCCUUAUACUACAAAACUGAAAUCAGAAAAAAA
ensembl:lncRNA